AUGUAACAAACCUGCACACGUACCCCUUAAAUCUAAAACAAAACAAAAACUUGUUCUGUGCUUUUAAUCGCUAUCAUAAAUUCAUCUUCUGCAUGAAGCCCUUCGCCAGCUAUCCUAGUUAGAAUGACAUCAUUGAACAAGUAUCUUUUGGCAUUUACUUUGUACUAGGUACUAUUUUGGGAAACUGUGAUACAAAAAUGAGUAAGACUUAUCCCAGCCAGGGAGGGGCUCAGUCUACUCAUUUGCUCCCUGUUCUGAGUCUUGAUACACUGAGGUUGGUUACCCUGGAGAAACUUGCUUGCUUGUGCCCGUGGCAUGGUGAUUUUCCUUUGGAUGUGUCCACCAUGAGAUAAGGCAAGGAGCAUGUCAACCUCAUGUCUUUGUUCUUUGUGUCCAGUGUGAUGCUUUGAUACUGAAGCCUCCUGAUGGCUGUCCUUGUCAACUGUGAACCCAUCAAAGGACAUCUAAAAUUCAACAUGGGACAGUGUAACAGAUUAAUUCAACACCCUCUCCACAAUCCCCUCAAAGAUGAAUGCAUAUUUUCUUCCUGUAGCAGCCCUCCAUCCUGAUUUAUUUCCAAGCUGGAGUGUGACCGGUAGUUGGACCAGGAGUUUCACAGCAUUGGCUUCCUUGGUUCUCAGACCUUCUGACUUGCACUGAGCCACACUACUGGCUUCCCUGGUUCUCCAGCUUGCAGACACCCUACCUGGGACUUCUCAGCCUCCACAGUGCAGUGAACCAAAUCCCCUAGUAAGUCCCUUCUUCGUCUCUCUGUCUCUCUCUGUCCUAUCAGUUCUGUCCCUUGGCAGAACUGUGACUGAACAUUCUACCUCUCCCCUAUUCUUUAUUUCUCACCAAUCACCAAGUCCUGUUGACUGCCAUUUAAUACCUUUCACAACUAGCCUUUCCCUUCUAACCUCUGUGCCAGUGCUUCGGUGCUAGGUCUCAUCUUCUCUUGCUGUAAUACUGUAAAAUCCUGCUGUCUCCCUGCCUCCGUCCUUGUCCCAUUACAGACCAUGAUAGUAAUCUUUAUUUUUGUUGAUAUUUUAAAAAAUAUCUAAUCAUGUUAUUCUUUAGCUGAAAACCCUUCAUUGGCUUCCUAAGUCCUCCAGGAGAGAGUCACAAAUCCUUCACCCAGCAGCCAGAGCCUUCCACUCUCCAAUCCUGUCCAGUCGCUACCCUUUCCUCUCAGCGCUGCUUCGCUCUCACUUGACCACCCAGCAAGAGCACAGGAUUUCCUGUGUCCUCCAGCCAUGUAAUUACUUCUCCACUUUCAUUGCCUGGUGAGGGCUGGUUAUGCUUUAAAAAUAUGUGCUACC
rnacentral:lncRNA from 1 species